ensembl:lncRNA
UGAUUGUUUCAAAACAGAAAAGGAGAAAGCCAAAGGGAUUUUUAUUUUGUGUUGACAAUGAGCAGACACAAGCAGAUAAUGUCUGAACUGGGACAUGAGCUCAUCUAUCUGUUAGGUUUGACUCAUCAGGACUUUGCCUCACACAACAUUUCAAAACAUGAAUCACACUUUGGAACCAUCAUCCCUCAGAUAUCCUCCUAUUCUGCAUCCAAGGCUGACAGGUCUGGAUUAAAACAUUUCUCAAGGACAAAAACAUUUUUAGAUAAUACCCACGUCUCUUUAGGACUGAUAACAUUGCAGAUCAAAUGUGUCUUGGUGACAGCUUGUCCUUGAAGCCUACAUUUAUGGUAUUGGUUGACUUAGUGGAGAGGACAGAAUUGUAUCAGAAUUAAACAAAAAUGUAUAAUUUCAGAGUUAGAAUGUAAGGUCCACACUCUACGCUCAAAAAACAUGUUUGAGCAAGUGAACUUCACAACUCAAUUCCAAAUGAAACCCUAGACUCAACACCAUACAAACUUGCAGAUAUCUGUAAGGUUUUAUCCUAUAAUCAAUAUGGUGUGACCUAUUAGUUCUAGUUAUAUACAAAUUUGGCCCUGUGGCUAGAGAAAGUUUCACUAUAUACCUGAUAAGAGAAGCAGAAUAAAAGGUCUAAAGUUGAGAACCACUGCUGUAGGGCACAGGGUCUAGUGUUCCCUUUACAUCACUUAGAAAACCUGUUGGGGGAGUUUGUCAAACAUAAACAUAUAGAUGACCUGUUUUUGCAUGUUGUAAAUGAGGUGGAUUGGGGGCUCUGGUGGAAGGGGGCAAAGGUGCUGAGCCAUGGUACCAACAGUAGUGCAGGGGGGCUGAGCCAUGGUACCAACAAUAGUGCAGGGGUGUCAGUAUUUUUCUCCCUUGGUCUGGGCGUCAAUAUUAAGUUGUCAAAGGAAGUGUGUGGCGGCAGGUUGUUGGUUGUAAAGGCAGAGAUUGAGAAUGUGCUGUUUGUUUUUAAUAAAUGUGUAUGCACCUAGUACAGGGCGGGAGUGGGGAGUGUUUUUUGGGUGCUAACGCAAAGAGCUGGCACUGAUAGAACAGGCUGAGGUGCUGGUUUUAGGGGGGGGUUGGAACUGCAUGAUUGAUUUUACCAGGGACCGGAAUGGUGAGGAGCCACAUCCAGUCUCUGCAGGGGUGCUGAAUUAUGUAUUGAUUCAGUAUGACUUGGUGGAUGUUUGGGCAACUCUGCAUCCAACCACCAGACAGUAUACCUGGGUGAAGGUAGUCGGGGGGAGGGUUUGUAUAUACCUGGGUGAAGGUAGUCGGGGGGAGGGUUUGUAUAUACCUGGGUGAAGGUAGUCGGGGGGAGGGUUAGUAUAUACCUGGGUGAAGGUAGUCGGGGGGGAGGGUUUGUAUAUACCUGGGUGAAGGUAGUCGGGGGGGAGGGUUAGUAUAUACCUGGGUGAAGGUAGUCGGGGGGAGGGUUAGUAUAUACCUGGGUGAAGGUAGUCGGUGGGAGGGUUAGUAUAUACCUGGGUGAAGGUAGUCGGGGGGAGGGUUAGUAUAUACCUGGGUGAAGGUAGUUGGGGGGAGGGUUUGUAUAUACCUGGGUGAAGGUAGUCGGGGGGGAGGGUUAGUAUAUACCUGGGUGAAGGUAGUCGGGGGAGGGUUAGUAUAUACCUGGGUGAAGGUAGUCGGGGGGAGGGUUAGUAUAUACCUGGGUGAAGGUAGUCGGGGGGAGGGUUAGUAUAUACCUGGGUGAAGGUAGUUGGGGGGAGGGUUUGUAUAUACCUGGGUGAAGGUAGUUGGGGGGAGGGUUUGUAUAUACCUGGGUGAAGGUAGUUGGGGGGAGGGUUAGUGCCUCUUGCCUGGAUCGUGUUUAUAUGUUCAGGCACCAGAACAAUAGGCUGGUGUCGGCCUCCAUACUCCCAGUUAGGUUUAUCAUAUUACCAGGUCUCAGCUCUCUGUUACACCGGGGCUCCGGCAUGCGUCCUACUGGAAAUGUAAUGUAAAGCCCUUACUAGAUGCUGCUUUUUGCUCUUGUUUUAUUAAAUUUUGGGGGUGUUGGGUGCAGCGGAAGGAUGAUUAUGAGUCUCUUAGUCUGUGGUGGGAUGUUGGGAGGACACAGAUUUGGCUUUUUUGUCAACAAUUUACGUCUUUUUCCUCAGCUGAAUCUAGGAGAGUGUUGGGGAAACUUGAACAGAACUUAAGUGAGACGGAGGCUGAGUUGCUCGGGCAAAACGGGGGGGGCUGGUUUCGAACCUGCCUGAAUUGCGUAGGGAUCUGGGUGCAUUUCUUGAGUUGAAAGCAAAGGGGGCACUUGUAAGAGCUAGGUUUUCUAUUUUGAAUGAGAUGGAUGCUCCCAGCUCCUCCUUUUUUGGCUUGGAAACACAGAGUGGAGAAAGGAAGCGUAUGCACUGUUUACGUAUGGCUGAUGGUCGGGUUUCUUCUGUUGUGGGGGAGAUGGGCGAGGUCUUCUGUUGUGGGGGAGAUGGGCGAGGUCUUCUGUUGUGGGGGAGAUGGGCGAGGUCUUCUGUUGUGGGGGAGAUGGGCGAGGUCUUCUGUUGUGGGGGAGAUGGGCGAGGUCUUCUGUUGUGGGAGAGAUGGGCGAGGUCUUCUGUUGUGGGGGAGAUGCAGGAGCGAGCUGUGGAGUUCUAUUCUGAUUUAUAUAGGGCUGAAAAGGUCACACUAUCACAGACAAUCUGUUUUUGAUCAGGGAUAUGUUGGAUUUGUCAGGGUCUUCGAAGACUGGUUUCUUUGGACCAGGAAAAGGCGUUUGACAGGGUGGAUCAUAUAUAUUUGUUUAGGGGGUUGUCUGCUUUUGGGAGUGGGGAGCGGUUUUUGUCCUGGGUUAAAAUGUUGUAUGCUGGGGCUUCUUGUCUGGUGAAGGUGGGAGGGGGGCUCAGUAGGCCUGUCCGGUGGGGAGGGGCAUACGUCAGGGUUGUCCUCUAUCUGGGCAGUUCUACACCCUUGCUAUUGAGCCCUUUUUGGGUCUGUUAUGCAGGAAACUGUCUCAGUCCUGUUGAAGGACCAGGAUGUCCUGGCGUUGGAGUCGUGUUUAAGGGUGUAUGAGGGGGAAUCAUCUGCCAGGUUGAACUGGGGUAAGAGUGGAGCAUUGCUGUGUGGGGCAUGGGGGGACAGGGUACCUCCUGGGCUUCCUGGGGGGUUGAACUGGGGUAAGAGUGGGGCAUUGCUGUGUGGGGCAUGGGGGGACAGGGUACCUCCUGGGCUUCCUGGGGGGUUGAACUGGGGUAAGAGUGGGGCAUUGCUGUGUGGGGCAUGGGGGGACAGG